GAUGAACGCUGACAGAAUGCUUAACACAUGCAAGUCUAUGAGAAGAUCUACUUCGGUAGAAGGUAUCAUGGCGGACGGGUGAGUAACGCGUAAAGAACUUGCCUCUUAGACUGGGAUAACAGAUGGAAACGUUUGAUAAGACUAGAUAUAAUAAUGACAUGGCAUCAUGUUGUUAUGAAAGGUAACACUAAGAGAGAGCUUUGCGUCCUAUUAGUUAGUUGGUGAGGUAAUGGCUCACCAAGACGAUGAUAGGUAGCCGGCCUGAGAGGGUGAACGGCCACAAGGGGACUGAGAUACGGCCCUUACUCUUACGGGAGGCAGCAGUGGGGAAUAUUGGACAAUGGAGGAAACUCUGAUCCAGCAAUUCUGUGUGCACGAUGAAGGUUUUCGGAUCGUAAAGUGCUUUCAGUAGGGAAGAAGAAAGUGACGGUACCUACAGAAGAAGCGACGGCUAAAUACGUGCCAGCAGCCGCGGUAAAGCUACGU
rnacentral:rRNA from 1 species